ACGGGUGAUUAACACGUGAGUAACCUGCCCUUGACUUUGGGAUAACUUCAGGAAACUGGGGCUAAUACCGGAUAGGAGCUCCUGCUGCAUGGUGGGGGUUGGAAAGUUUCGGCGGUUGGGGAUGGACUCGCGGCUUAUCAGCUUGUUGGUGGGGUAGUGGCUUACCAAGGCUUUGACGGGUAGCCGGCCUGAGAGGGUGACCGGCCACAUUGGGACUGAGAUACGGCCCAG
rnacentral:rRNA from 1 species